rnacentral:rRNA from 1 species
GACGAACGUUGGCGGCGUGCUUAAUACAUGCAAGUCAACUGAAGCAGUGGUAGCAAUAUCGCUGUGGAGGUGGCGCACGGGUGAGUAACACGUAGGUAAUCUGCCUUCAGGUCUGGCAUAACUCCGGGAAACCGGGGCUAAUAGCAGAUGAUGCAGCGGCUCGACAUCGAGACAGUUGUUAAAGCUAUGGCGCCUGAAGAUGAGCCUGCGUCUGAUUAGCUAGUUGGCGGGGUAACGGCCCACCAAGGCAACGAUCAGUAGCUGGUCUGAGAGGAUGAACAGGCACACUGGAACGGAGACGCGGCCCAGACUCCUACGGGAGGCAGCAGUAAGGAAUAUUGCUCAAUGGGAGAAAUCCUGAAGCAGCAACGCCGCGUGAGGGACGAAGGGCGUUUGCUUGUAAAACUCUGUAGUGAGAGAAAAAAAUCCCAAUCUUUGGGACAUGAUGGUAUCUCAAAAGUAAGCCCCGGCUAACUACGUG